CAGAGUAAGGCUUCAGGCGUGUGUCUUUUGGCACGGAGUGUCCUGCGGACGGGGAGUUGCCGCGGGAACGAACAGUAAAGGCGAUCUGGGGCUUGCAUCCCGCUGU
rnacentral:ncRNA from 1 species